rnacentral:pre_miRNA from 1 species
AUUAUACUCCCUCCGUCCGAAAAUACUUGUCAUCAAAAUGGACAAAAGGGAUGUAUCUAAAACUAAAAUACAUCUAGAUACAUCCCUUUUAUCCAUUUUGAUGACAAGUAUUUCCGGACGGAGGGAGUAUAUA